rnacentral:rRNA from 1 species
GACGAACGCUGGCGGUGUGCUUAACACAUGCAAGUCGAACGGUAAGGCCCUUUCGGGGGUACACGAGUGGCGCACGGGUGAGUAACACGUGAGUAACCUGCCCUCAUCUCUGGGAUAACAGUCGGAAACGGUUGCUAAUACUGGAUAUGAGCUUGCAAGGCAUCUUGUGGGUUGGAAAGAUUUUUUUGGUUGGGGAUGGACUCGCGGCCUAUCAGCUUGUUGGUGAGGUAGUGGCUCACCAAGGCUUCGACGGGUAGCCGGCCUGAGAGGGCGACCGGCCACAUUGGGACUGAGAGACGGCCCAAACUCCUACGGGAGGCAGCAGUGGGGAAUAUUGCACAAUGGACGGAAGUCUGAUGCAGCAACGCCGCGGGCGGGAUGACGGCCUUCGGGUUGUAAACCGCUUUCAAUUGUGACGAAGCUUUUUGUGACGGUAGCAGUAGAAGAAGCACCGGCUAACUACGUG